GUAUGCUUCACUUCAUUUUUUGAUGGAUUCCUAGAGAAGGACUUGUCUUAUUCUAUUAAAACAUAAUGUUUAAAUCAGCUGCCCUCUGCACCCACAGCUAUUAUCACUCAUAGCCAGAAGAAAUUUCAAAUCACACUUAGUCAAAUAUCACUGUAUCAGUGUCAAGAGAAACUUCUGUCAGACAGCGGCUUUAAGAAUAGGGAGAAAACAUCAACGAAAAUAACAGUUAGUCUUUUCUUCUAAAAGUGAUAACCAUGCCUAUGUUUCUUUAUAUCCCGUAAGUUGCUGGCUGGGAGCUUUAUGCAGGGCAGAUAGUAUUAGUUGAGCUGAAUUUAUGCAACAUAAUUUGCAAAUAUUUACAAGCCUCCCAAGACAAAGCUCCUGCCUUAAUCUUAGUCGUAUCUUCUGGUUCUCUACAAUUAAUGGUAUUGUUCAGAGUAACUAAACAAAUAACUUUUAAACUCUUGACAGUUUCUACUUUUCCAAUUAACUUACAGAGCACUCCUUCGCAAGAUCUAUCACAAAACCUACUAGAGCUAGCCAACCUUAAUGAAUUACAGCAACCUUAGGUUUUUCCAGGA
rnacentral:lncRNA from 1 species